rnacentral:rRNA from 1 species
AGAUUAAACUAAAGAGUUUGAUCCUGGCUCAGAUUGAACGCUGGCGGCAUGCCUUACACAUGCAAGUCGAACGGCAGCACGGAGCUUGCUCUG